rnacentral:rRNA from 1 species
GACGAACGCUGGCGGCGUGCCUAAUACAUGCAAGUAGAACGCACAGUUUAUACCGUAGCUUGCUACACCAUAGACUGUGAGUUGCGAACGGGUGAGUAACGCGUAGGUAACCUGCCUGGUAGCGGGGGAUAACUAUUGGAAACGAUAGCUAAUACCGCAUAAUAUUAAUUAUUGCAUGAUAAUUAAUUGAAAGGUGCAAUUGCACCACUACCAGAUGGACCUGCGUUGUAUUAGCUAGUAGGUGAGGUAACGGCUCACCUAGGCGACGAUACAUAGCCGACCUGAGAGGGUGAUCGGCCACACUGGGACUGAGACACGGCCCAGACUCCUACGGGAGGCAGCAGUAGGGAAUCUUCGGCAAUGGACGAAAGUCUGACCGAGCAACGCCGCGUGAGUGAAGAAGGUUUUCGGAUCGUAAAGCUCUGUUGUAAGAGAAGAACGGGUGUCAGAGUGGAAAGUUCACACUGUGACGGUAUCUUACCAGAAAGGGACGGCUAACUACGUG